rnacentral:rRNA from 1 species
AUGGCCGAAUGCUUCAAUAGGGUGCUCAAAGGUGCACGUGGAUUACCUGUGACGGCAAUAGUUCAAUACACAUUUGACAAGAUGAAUGCGUACUUUGUAAAGUACUCGAUGGAAACCGAUGCACAGAUAGCGGGUGAGAAUCCAUGGAAGUACAAGUACAAGUUCCCACCCAAAGUUGAUGAAUGGUUGGUAUUUCAAUCACGGAAGGCGGACUCAGAAGAAGCUAUAUUAUAUGACAACGAAGAGUGGAAGUACGAAGUGAAAGAGCCAGGAGGAACCACAAACGAUGGCCGGCAACAUGGAGGUUGGGCUUUCAAGGUGUCGUUAACACAAUGUGAUUGCACUUGCGGGAGGCCAUUGUUGCUUCAUCUCCCAUGCUCACACUUGUAUACCGCCGGUCGCGUUAGGAAUGUGGACAUCAAUCACCCACGCACCGUGAGGGAGUCGGAGUUCUCAAUCAUGACGGUCAAGAAAACAUGGGCUCCCCGCUUUCACCCAUACUUUGACCAAUCACAAUGGCCGGAGUAUCAUGGAGUUCAACUAUGGCUGGAUCCG